GGCCGCCGGUAAUACGGAGGGUGCAAGCGUUAAUCGGAAUUACUGGGCGUAAAGCGUGCGCAGGCGGUUUUGUAAGACAGAUGUGAAAUCCCCGGGCUUAACCUGGGAACUGCGUUUGUGACUGCAAGGCUAGAGUACGGCAGAGGGGGGUGGAAUUCCACGUGUAGCAGUGAAAUGCGUAGAGAUGUGGAGGAACACCGAUGGCGAAGGCAGCCCCCUGGGCCUGUACUGACGCUCAUGCACGAAAGCGUGGGGAGCAAACAGGGUUAGAUACCCUGGUAGUCCACGCCCUAAACGAUGUCGACUAGUUGUUCGGAGCAGCAAUGCACUGAGUAACGUAGCUAACGCGUGAAGUCGACCGCCUGGGGAGUACGGCCGCAAGGUUAAAACUCAAAGGAAUUGACGGGGACCCGCACAAGCGGUGGAUGAUGUGGAUUAAUUCGAUGCAACGCGAAAAACCUUACCUACCCUUGACAUGUCUGGAACCUUGCUGAGAGGCGAGGGUGCCUUCGGGAGCCAGAACACAGGUGCUGCAUGGCUGUCGUCAGCUCGUGUCGUGAGAUGUUGGGUUAAGUCCCGCAACGAGCGCAACCCUUGUCACUAGUUGCCAUCAUUUAGUUGGGCACUCUAGUGAGACUGCCGGUGACAAACCGGAGGAAGGUGGGGAUGACGUCAAGUCCUCAUGGCCCUUAUGGGUAGGGCUUCACACGUCAUACAAUGGUCGGUACAGAGGGUUGCCAAGCCGCGAGGUGGAGCUAAUCCCUUAAAGCCGAUCGUAGUCCGGAUCGUAGUCUGCAACUCGACUACGUGAAGUCGGAAUCGCUAGUAAUCGCAGAUCAGCACGCUGCGGUGAAUACGUUCCCGGGUCUUGUACACACCGUCCGUCACACCAUGGGAGUGGGUUUCACCAGAAGUAGGUAGCUUAACCUUCGGGGGGGCGCUUACCACGGUGAGAUUCAUGACUGGGGUGAAGUCGUAACAAGGUAGCCGAAUCUCUGAAGAUCCGCGCGAC
rnacentral:rRNA from 1 species